AGUCUUCAGGUAAUGAAUUUCGUAUCUAGAGACCACGAUGGCGAGCAUUACCGACGGUCGACAUGAGACGAGCUGGAACGACGAAUAGAUACCCCGUAGUCCAGCGUAACUAUGCGCGUAGGUGUGCUGUACUACGAGUACGGGUGCCGAAGUGAAAACGUGAAACGUGCCGCUGGAAGUACGGUCGCAAGGCUGAAACUUAAAGGAAUUGGCGGGGAGCACCACAACGGGUGGAGCUGCGGUUUAAUUGGACUCAACGCCGGGCAGCUCACCGGAUAGGACAGCGGAAUGAUAGCCGGGCUGAAGACCUUGCUUGACCAGCUGAGAGGAGGUGCAUGGCCGUCGUCAGUUCGAACUAAGAAGCAUCCUGUUUAGUCAGGCAACGAGCGAGACCCACGCCAACAGUUGCUAGCAUGUUCUCCGGAAUGAUGAGGACAAAAAUGAAGACCGCCUCUGCUAAAGAGGAGGAAAGUUUGGGCCACGGAAGGCCAGCAUGCCCCGAAUUAUCCGGGCUACACGCGGGCUACAAUGGUCAGGACAAUGGGAAACGGCACUGAAAAGUGUAGUCAAUCUCCUAAACCUGUCCCAAGUUCGGAUUGUGGGCUGCAACUCGCCCACAUGAAGCUGGAAUCCGUAGUAAUCGCGUUUCAAAAUAGCGCGGGGAAAAAAUCCCUGCUCCUGCACACACCGUAAUCGGAUCCCCGUCCCGUCGAUGAGAGGCCUCUCCUCCUCGAGGGUUA
rnacentral:rRNA from 1 species